CCGUGCGACUGCAGCCUGUGACACUGGAAGAGACCGUAGCUGGAGAGGAGGGGAUGCGCUGUGUGUCGCGUGCUCACAGGAUGUAGCCUCACCUGCUUACCCUUGUUUCCCCCCGUCUGACCCAGGUUAAAAAGGGGUUUCCUUUUUGUUACCUUGUAACCUUUUAAGAUACCUUGGGGCUAGAGAUGACUUUGUGGGUUUAUUUGGGUUUCGUGUCUGAAGUGUGGUUGCGCCAGAUUUGCUGUUUAUAACGAUGUCUGUCAUCGCCCUACCCACCCUCCCCAUCCCUGCCCUGCUCUCACUUCCCUUCCAUUAAAGCAGCACCCACAGACCCAGCAAAGGGUCCUGUCAGAGCAGAGUGCCCCGGUGCCGGAGAGGAGGUAGCCUCCUCCGCCCUGCUGCGUUUGCUCUUGUCUAGACGAACGGGUAAUUUCAUGGAGUGUUGUGCACAGCUCCCUCCACCUCCUCAGCCUCGGCUCCCAGUGAAAUGUUACACGAUUCCGCCACCUAAAUGCUGUCCCUCCCGAAGGAACACUCCAGGUCAACAUCGGGCAUCUCAGACCAGAAUCAGAGGUCUCAGAGGGGGGUGGGUUCAUCCUCAUGGGAUGGUAAGGGGUGGGGGGCUGCUGGGCUCUCGGACAGCUGGUUCUCAGAGAACCCCGUGGUCAUCACCCGAGCCCCUGGGCGCUCUCGGCCCCUGGAGUUCGGACGUCUUCUCUCCAAAGCCUGUCUCCCACCGCGUCAAGGGGAACUAGAAAGCACCUCUGGCUAACACAGGACCCUCGUGCUUCAGUGGGUAUUUCCCCUUGGGAGAGCCCCAGAAACGCUGACGCGCGUCACGUGAAGUCUUGUGCCCUUCAUCUGUUUGCUUCCUCCUGACCUUCUCCCAGGCACUUGCAUUUGUAGGUGAGCUUUUCGUUGGGGGCAGAUCUCCACGUGCCUGGGGUGCUCCUUGCAGAGAUACCUCUUCAAGCCCCAGGGCUGCCAUGUAGGUAAUCUGACUCCCUGUGCCUGUGGUUUGUCACCUGGAUGGUUGUGGCCAGCAGGGCGUGGUGCCCCCACCUCGGAGUGUGGCACCCAGGCCUGAGGUUGCUUCUGAGCCGCUUGAGGAUCUGACCCGGGAAAUCCAAUUUGGAGGCUUGAUGUGAGAUUCGACCUGGCCUCAACCUUGGAGCUGUUUUUUCUUGAUGGCCCUCUAGACUUUGUGCAGAUCUGCCACCCACAAGCCUCCUCAGGAGUGGCAUCCUGCAGCUUCCUUCAGGAUCUCUACCCACCUUCUGAGCCUGCUCCCCAGGCCUCAGAAUUGUGUCCUUCUGCGAUGCCAUCAGAGCAGUCUGGUCUGGCAAGAAGAGAAAACAGCCCUGUGCUGGGGGAGGUACAUUCCUGCGUCUUCUCACCUCCUCACCAGGAACUGGGGACUUGGGAUGAGAUAUGGUAAAACUUGUAGAUAACUCCGCAAAUGGGAAGAAAGUUUGUGGAACCGUUUUGAAUGAAUGGAUUGGUUUCCUUGGCUCCCUUCAAACCUGGCCAAGCUCAGCUUCUGGAGCAGGAAUGAGCACCAGCUCUGUGCCCGACCCACAGCAUUUAGGUCAGGGAGGAAUGGAGACCGCAUUCUUGGACUCUACUGGGGCUGUCGGAACCUUUCUGGAAGAGGCAAACGGGCCAAACAACUGCCCUGGCCCCAGGAAGGGGCUGUAGGUAGCUCUGAAUGUCAGCAGCAAGACCACGGAGUGACUUGGGGAAGAACUAGGUAGCUCACGGAGAAGACAAAUUUGACUUCGGAAGGGAUUAGUAGGAAUAAUGUUUGGACUUGAUUUCCCCACCUCCUCCUAAUCAAGAAUGAAAAUUUGGAUCUGCUCCUAGUUGGGCCCAGCAUCUCCCAAGCUUGGCAGGUUGUCCUCUCGUAGCCUCCACAGCCUUGGGCUCCCUCCGGCUUCCUACAUUUGGUCUGCUGAUCAUGUCGCCAUAAUGUGUACGAAAAUUGUAACCAAUUGUUAUAAGUUAAAGUCCCACCAUGCCGUCUCUGGGCAGAAGGUGUCCAAGGGGAAGCGACUACCCUCACCAUCACUCUUUGGAACCAUGAGGAAAAGCUGAGUGGUCUUAUGGUAUCCUGUAAUAAUUUGGGGUCUCCCAAGAACAAAGGCACAAGAAUAAGACAUGGCUGACUGGGUGAGGCCUGGAUGGGGACAAGGGCAGAAUUCCUCUCCAUUCUUUCCCUCUACCAUUUAACCAGUCACAGCUUCUCCCAUCCUGCCCCUCUUCUGAAAGUCUACAGCUGAGAAAACUCUAGUCUCCCAGGUCUCCCCACCAAAGCAAGGGGCUCUCUGAAAUCUCCACCUCGACCACUAGAAGAAGGCCUCUGGCCCUUGUUCCUCUUAAUGAACCACUGAGUCUUUGUCCCCCAGUGCAAGUUCCUUCCCUGUGUCCUGCAGUUUGGGGGCGACUGGGCAGGCCAGAGAGCCAGCAGUCCCGGGAGCACAGCCCGAGGCAGUGCUCCAUGUCUCCUUACCUAGCUCAGGGGUGACGGGUCUGUGGCAUGUGCUGCGAGUCGCCCCGUGGCUGCUCUCGGUGGCGCUCCCUCGGUUCCCACCACGGGCAGCUCAUCAUCCCUUCUCCUCUUCCUGCUUCCGUUUCUCUUGCCUGUGGUUUAGGCCUCAAACAGGUUCCCUGGUAGCGCUUAGGGCUUGGGACUGCACACUCUUGCCCUACUGACUUUCCCCUCUUCAUGGCCUGCCAGGGCCUGCCCCAGGGAGGUGGACCAAAGACCCAGGACGUUCCUCAGUAGCCAGUCCCACCCUCCUAAUUGUUUUUUUUACCAGUUCAAGUUGGGAGAGAGAAAAAAUUGUCAGCAGUCCCCAGCAUUUGAGCUACUCAAGUGUUAGGGGCCAGAAGGGACAGUGUUCAAAACAACCCUUAGAAAGCUCUGGCCGUAGACCUGUGGCUCCCCCAGUUCCAGGGAGCUCGCUUUUUUUCUGACAGAAAUGUGGGGAGGGGGCUCCAGCCUGAGCACAGGAAUCAAAGGGAAAACACAUUCAAACGGCCCCCAAAUCUACCAGCCAUCUGCAGGGGGCUCUGUGACACAGCCCUGGCCUUCUUCUGAAAUGUGCCACUUAUGGAGAGUGUCUCCAGAGGGAAGAGGAGCAUCGGCUGUCCCUGGCGAUCCUCUGGAGGCUGGCUGGGGACGAAACUUCCAGAGGAGCCCCUUCCCCUUGCUCAGAGCCGUUUUGGGAGGAAGUGGGAACCACCUUUGGGGGAUGGCCUGGUGCAGCUCAGCACACCCAAGCAUCAGGUCAGGCCAUUGUGAUCAAAAAAUGUGAAUGAAGUUUAGAUUCAGCUUUUGGGGGAGCAGGGUAAACUGCCACCCCACCAUAUGUGUGUGACUUCUCCAUUUCCCACUGCAAUCUCCAUUUUUUUAAAUAGGAAUUUUCAACCCCCUGUGCUUGUCUAAUGUCUGCUCGGAACAAUUCGAGACCCUGUUACUGUUUUAAGAUGCAUGCAUGUUAAGAUGAAUCUCCAACCCGAGGAAAAAAAUAAAACUCAAAAAAGCUUUGUGUA